GGUCCGUUGGCCCAAUGGUAAGGCGUCUGACUACGACUACCAGUUCAAAGUUAAUCAGGAGAUUCUGGGUUCGACCCCCAGGCGGACCU